CUCCUUUGAAGUUAGCGGCGGACGCGGUGUAGUAACACGUGGGUAACCUACCUAUAAGACUGGGAUAACUUCGGGAAACCGGAGCUAAUACCGGAUAACAUUUAGAACCGCAUGGUUCUAAAGUGAAAGAUGGUUUUGCUAUCACUUAUAGAUGGACCCGCGCCGUAUUAGCUAGUUGGUAAGGUAACGGCUUACCAAGGCGACGAUACGUAGCCGACCUGAGAGGGUGAUCGGCCACACUGGAACUGAGACACGGUCCAGACUCCUACGGGAGGCAGCAGUAGGGAAUCUUCCGCAAUGGGCGAAAGCCUGACGGAGCAACGCCGCGUGAGUGAUGAAGGGUUUCGGCUCGUAAAACUCUGUUAUUAGGGAAGAACAAAUGUGUAAGUAACUGUGCACAUCUUGACGGUACCUAAUCAGAAAGCCACGGCUAACUACGUGCCAGCAGCCGCGGUAAUACGUAGGUGGCAAGCGUUAUCCGGAAUUAUUGGGCGUAAAGCGCGCGUAGGCGGUUUCUUAAGUCUGAUGUGAAAGCCCACGGCUCAACCGUGGAGGGUCAUUGGAAACUGGGAACUUGAGUGCAGAAGAGGAAAGUGGAAUUCCAUGUGUAGCGGUGAAAUGCGCAGAGAUAUGGAGGAACACCAGUGGCGAAGGCGACUUUCUGGUCUGUAACUGACGCUGAUGUGCGAAAGCGUGGGGAUCAAACAGGAUUAGAUACCCUGGUAGUCCACGCCGUAAACGAUGAGUGCUAAGUGUUAGGGGGUUUCCGCCCCUUAGUGCUGCAGCUAACGCAUUAAGCACUCCGCCUGGGGAGUACGACCGCAAGGUUGAAACUCAAAGGAAUUGACGGGGACCCGCACAAGCGGUGGAGCAUGUGGUUUAAUUCGAAGCAACGCGAAGAACCUUACCAAAUCUUGACAUCCUUUGAAAACUCUAGAGAUAGAGCUUUCCCCUUCGGGGGACAAAGUGACAGGUGGUGCAUGGUUGUCGUCAGCUCGUGUCGUGAGAUGUUGGGUUAAGUCCCGCAACGAGCGCAACCCUUAAGCUUAGUUGCCAUCAUUAAGUUGGGCACUCUAGGUUGACUGCCGGUGACAAACCGGAGGAAGGUGGGGAUGACGUCAAAUCAUCAUGCCCCUUAUGAUUUGGGCUACACACGUGCUACAAUGGACAAUACAAAGGGCAGCUAAACCGCGAGGUCAUGCAAAUCCCAUAAAGUUGUUCUCAGUUCGGAUUGUAGUCUGCAACUCGACUACAUGAAGCUGGAAUCGCUAGUAAUCGUAGAUCAGCAUGCUACGGUGAAUACGUUCCCGGGUCUUGUACACACCGCCCGUCACACCACGAGAGUUUGUAACACCCGA
rnacentral:rRNA from 1 species